rnacentral:rRNA from 1 species
UGAGGAAUUUUCCACAAUGGACGAAAGUCUGAUGGAGCAAUACCGCGUGCAGGAAGACGGCCUUCGGGUUGUAAACUGCUUUUAAAUAGGACGAUUAUGACGGUACUAUUUGAAUAAGGAUCGGCUAACUACGUGCCAGCAGCCGCGGUAAUACGUAGGAUCCAAGCGUUAUCCGGAAUUACUGGGCGUAAAGCGUCUGUAGGUGGCGCGUCAGGUGAGAUGCGAAAUCUUGUGGCUCAACCACAUAGACUGUAUCUCAAACCAACGUGCUAGAGGUCGGUAGAGGCAAGUGGAAUUCUCAGUGUAGCAGUGACAUGCGUAGAUAUUGAGAGGAACACCAAUGGCGAAGGCAGCUUGCUGGGCCGCACCUGACACUCAGAGACGAAAGCGUGGGGAGCGAACGGGAUUAGAUACCCGUGUAGUCC